GCCUCUGAGUCAAGAUGUAGAACUCUCAGCUCCAGCAUCACGUCUACCUGCAUGCUGCCAUGCUCCUCGUCAUGAAGAUAAUGGACUGAACCUCUGAACUGGUACCCACGUGGCUUUUAAGUGUUGAUGCAACAUCCUUAAAACAGUCUCCCAUUUCCAAGGAUUAAGUAAGGCACUUGGAAGACUGGAAGCCUCUGUGUCCUCAUAUCCGAAUGGCUCUCAGCUGAACUGCUGCUCGAAAGCCUGAACACUUAACCAGCCAAAAUGCUUAACCAGCCAAAUGCUUCUAGUUUCUGGUCCUCACGCCUUAUAUACCUUUCCGCUUUCUACCACCACUCCCUGGGAUUAAAGGCUCGCUUUCUGGGGGAUUAAAGGCAUGAGUCACUAUGCUUGGCUGUAUCCUUGAACACAUCGAUUUCUGCCUCUGGAAUCCUAGGAUUAAAGGUGUGAAUGUCACCAUUUUCUAGCCUUUGAAUCUAGUGGCUAUUCUGUCUCUGACCCCAGAUAAGUUUAUUAGGAUGCACAAUAUUUUGAGGGACACAAUACCACA